CGCCUCCUUUGCGUUUGCCGCCGGAGAGAAAGCUGCGCCUGGAGGUGAACAGCGUGGCUUACGGGGAACAGCCUCAGCGAUGGAUGGGGAAAGACGCCCCGACUCCUCGAAGACGUCCUGAUUUCUCCAUCAAGUCUGUGGUACUUUGUGAGAACAGCAACAGAAAAUGAAUGUACCGGGUGACACGUCUCCGAGAAGAGCUCUCCAGGUGCACGGGGCCAGGGAUGGACACGGAGCCGCAGGAGAGGUCUGUGAGCUCACAGGUCCUGGAGCCUUCGGGCCUGCGUGCCGGUGCGGCGGGACCCCAGCAGCUCCGCGCAGAGAAGGGCGCUCUCACCUGCCCGGCUAGCUGGCGUGUGGGCGUCCGGCUUGAACAGCUCCCUACAGGCUCUGGGAGCAGGUGCAGCAGGUGCUCAUGGUCUAGAGGACCACCCAGCGAGGCGAACACCUAUUUCAUGCAACUGAGAGCUGAACAAACUGGAACAUUUGUGAACCAGAUUCAUCAACGAACCUUUGGUGAGAAGACGGCUGAAUGGAUUCGUGUGGGGAUUAAGAAUGAGGGUAGGGAGAUGAUUUAAUAAUUUCAUUUAUCUCUGCUCUCUUGACCUCUGCCUGUUAUAAUGAAACAUUAUGGAAAUUAAAAACAAGCCAUUUAUAACAUCCAGGAGGGAGGAAAACGCAAAGAGAAAGCAAGUGGGCCCUGAGUGCACUUAGCUGUGUACUGACUUUAAAACUAAAACCCGUCUCAAGGGAUUUGAGAAAUUUGAGCAAGAACAUUGUUUUCUCUCGUGAAACAAGCACCACUAAGUCACAUGGCAGUAUGUAAUAUGUAAUGAGAGGAAGCAUGUUUAAGAAAAAAAUAAUAUUUCUAUUCCUUCAGAUUCCAUUUUAUGGGUCGAGAGAACACAGGGAGCCUGGGAGCUCCUCUUACGUCCACCAAAUCCCCCGAGUCGUGGCCAAGGUCAUCAGCCAUCUCCUUAGUCCCACCCGUUUCUCCUUUGAAAGAAGAAAAUUCUUUUUUUUUUUAAGAUUUUAUUUAUUUAAAAAAAAAGAUUUUAUUUAUUUAUUCAUGAGAGACAGAGAGAGAGAGGCAGAGACGCAGGCAGAGGGCGAAGUCUCCAAUUGAUUAAAUGACCAAAUGGAUAUUGAAUACUCUACCAUGUAGCAGGUUCUAUGCCAAAUUCUGAAUACAACUGCUACCAAAGCUGGCAAAGUCUUUCUUAAUGGAACUAGGAAAUUUCUGCAAAGUUCGACAAAUAAUACUUCAGUGUUUUACACUUGUAAAGCGGGCUCCUUGCAGGGAGGGGAGCCCGAUGUGGGACUCGAUCCUGCACCCUGGGAUCACACCCUGAGCCGGAGGCAGAUGCUCAAUGGCUGAGCCACCCAGGUGCCCCUGAAAGAAGAAGAAAGUUCUUUAAGAGCAUCUCUACUUUUGUGCGAUCUGUGGAGACACGGCUCCAUCUCCAGCAACGCUAUGAUCCCAGGGGAUUCCUUUGCUUCUCUUUUAAAGAUGAACCAAAGCAUUAUAUGCAAACAAAAAAAGCACCCAGAGCAUAAGUGCGUGUAUAUCUUGGUGAC
rnacentral:lncRNA from 12 species